rnacentral:tmRNA from 2 species
GGGGAUGAUCGGUUUCGACAUCGUCUGUGAAGCUGCGAGAAGCGGGCCGAGGAUGCGGGGUUAUCUCGUUAACGCCCUCCGCAAACCAUAGGUGCCAAUUCCAAGCGCACCGACUUCGCUCUCGCCGCCUAAGGCAGAGUAAGGAAGUCCGUCAGACCGGGUUCGCCUUCGCCCCGGACCCUGGCGUCAUCUAGAGGGCUUGCUGCGUGAUUGUGUUUCAGGGUCACGCGGGACUUGCACUGGGACUGGGAUCGUCGAUCUAGGUGUCUGUGACAAAGAUCGGAGCCGAGUAGAACGUCUCCACAGACUGCGCCCGGAGAAGGCGCAGGUCCUCAGCGAUGGACGGGGGUUCAAUUCCCCCCAUCUCCACCA